rnacentral:rRNA from 1 species
CAAUAGCGUAUAUUAAAGUUGUUGCGGUUAAAAAGCUCGUAGUUGGAUUUCUACCGAGAAUGGCCGGUCCGCUCUAUGAGCGUGUAUCUGGUUCAGUCUUGGUAUCCUCUUGAAAGACGUUUCUGCGCUUGAUUGCGUGGGGCGGAGUUCAAGACUUUUACUUUGAGGAAAUUAGAGUGUUCACGGCAGGCAAGCGCCUUGAAUACAUUAGCAUGGAAUAAUAAUAUAGGAUCUUGGUUCUAUUUUGUUGGUUUCUAGGACUAAGAUAAUGAUUAAUAGGGAUAAUUGGGGGGCAUUUGUAUUAACGCGUCAGAGGUGGAAUUCUUGGAUUGCGUUACGACAAACUACUGCGAAAGCAUUUGCCAAGGAUGUUUUCAUUGAUCAAGAACGAAAGUAUGGGGAUCGAAGAUGAUUAGAU